GAUGAACGCUGGCGGCGUGCCUAACACAUGCAAGUCGAGCGAACCCUUCGGGGUGAGCGGCGGACGGGUGAGUAACGCGUGGGUAACCUGCCCUGUACACACGGAUAACAUACCGAAAGGUAUGCUAAUACGAGAUAAUAUAUUUUAAUCGCAUGGUUAAGAUAUCAAAGCUCCGGCGGUACAGGAUGGACCCGCGUCUGAUUAGCUAGUUGGUGAGGUAAUGGCUCACCAAGGCGACGAUCAGUAGCUGGUCUGAGAGGAUGACCAGCCACACUGGAACUGAGACACGGUCCAGACUCCUACGGGAGGCAGCAGUGGGGAAUCUUGCGCAAUGGGGGCAACCCUGACGCAGCCAUACCGCGUGAGUGAUGAAGGUCUUCGGAUUGUAAAGCUCUUUCGGCGGGGACGACGAUGACGGUACCCGCAAAAGAAGUCACGGCUAACUUCGUGCCAGCCGCCGCAGUAA
rnacentral:rRNA from 1 species